UCUCAAAAGUAUCUUCAAAUAUCGGUUAUAUUUUUUUUAUUUGACCAUGGCUCCCCCGCGUAUUGCAUUGCGAAGAGCCGUAGCUGAUGAUCAGAAAUCUGUCACAACCCU
rnacentral:ribozyme from 1 species